CGUGCUCUGCGCCUGGCCACGCCCCCAGAGCCCGCCCCACCGGCUCCCUCCGGCACUACCCAGAGAAGCGUUGCGGCGUCUCAAACUACGGCUAGUAGGCAGGUAUGGUGAGCCCUGAGGACUGCCCUGCCCUCGUGGUGCUUGCGGUCUUGCAAAAGAGACUGGUAGGUGAACCUGCAGUGACAACACAGUGAGGAUGCUUGAGAGCUUCCUGACCGAGUAUGAGUAAGAAUGAGUAAGAUUGUUCAGAGCAAAGACUAAUGGAGGUGAGUACCGGUGUUUGUGGGCUGGAUCCUGCGACUCUUUCCUCAAGUGUGCCUCUCCCUCUGCCUCUCCAAUUCAACCGUGCUGAAAUCUAGCAGGCCUGGGAGCACAAGCUUAUUUUUGCACUGCUUGAGCCACCUGGAUUCAAAGCCUGCCUGGCUGUGGAGUUCUUCCAAUCUAGCCCCUUAGAGCAUCUGUUCCCUAAAAGGCCCUGCUCCCUGCUAUAAAUCAGGGGCAAAUCAUAUCAGUGGUUCCAGGCUACCUUCCAUGUCCUCACCUACCUCUACCCUCCCUCUCAUCCCACCUGCUGUGCAUGAUGGCUAUGAGCACCUGCAGGCGUGGUGCAGGCCUGGGGGGCCUUCUGCUGGUUCCUCGGCCUAAGGAACAAACUGGCACCAGAGCCACGUGGAAUCAGGGAGGAGGACAGGCACCCACAGAGCACACAGACAUCAGUGUCACUGCUUCAUAGUCAGACCCUCCAAUUUAUGAUAGAUUUUACUGAUUUCAUCAAACAAGACCUGCCAGAGUCUGACCCCUUGACACUGACCAGCCAGACAGGCAAGGACAUGGCACAGCCUGGCUGUGAUUCUGCUUGCUUUCACACAGCACAGUCAGGUGGACACCCUCUGCUCACUGGCUCGGUUUUCUAAAACCUUAAGUCAAUGUCAGUGUUGAAUUUUCCCCACCAUCCUUCAUGUGUGAAAAGAUGAAGGUCCUAGACCUUUUCCCAACAGAGGGACCCCCUCACUUUCCUGGACCCCUGAGCUUAAUUUUCCUGAACCAGUCCCAAAGCUAAACAUGGGAGGCCCCUGCCAUUUCCCAUUGUUUGUGAGCCGUCCUGCAGUCCUGAAACGUGUCUCUGUCAAUUUGCUGGGGCAGGAAAGAAGCAGAAUCAGGGUCCUAGGAGGCUGGGUCCACUGGGGUGCCAAUGGCCAGGAUGCAAGUCUUUGCCACUCUAGGCAGCCUUUGCCCUCAGGACUGGACACCUGGGUAGAUCCUGACUCUGCAGCUUAUGACCCUGAGCAUGUCACCUACUCUCACUGUUCCUCGAUUUCCCCAUCUAUAAAUGGGAAUAAUGAUAAUGCGACUCCUGGGGUGUUUUUUAAAGAAUUUAAUGAGUUGAUAUCUGUAAAGUACUUUGAACAAUGUGUGUCACCGUGACGGAUUGAGGAAAUGUGUAGAUCUUUAUUCACCAAGGCAUGGUGGUUAGGAAGUGGCCCACGUGGCACCUUGGGAAAUGCUCAGGUGAUUGUGAUGUAAGCCAGGGUUGACAAUACUGCCCUCCACAGUGUUCUCAGCCCCCCUGGUGGAGUUUUAUUCACAUGUCUGACUCCCCACCCUCCCACCAGCUGGGAACCUCUCCAAGAGCCACAGGGCCAUUCCCACCUCCUAUUCCCUGUACUUGUUAGAGUCGGUGUUCAGGAAGUAUUUGCAGAAUACAUGACUGAGUUAUGCUGGGAGUCAAGGAGCAUGACUAGUGGGCAGAUCCAGAGGUGCUGGCCUGUGAAGGUCAGCUUGGCCCACAUUUCUCAGGGGCCCACAGGGGAGAGGCUGCUGUGGCAAGGGCUCUGAACCCCAGUUUUGUCCCUUCUGGAAAAGGUACCUACCAAGUGGCCCCCAGUACCUUCUGUCAUUGCUCAUAGCAGCAGGUGGAGGCCACCCACAGGCAGCGACCCCCAGGUCCAGACCAGCUGAAUGGCAUGCUGAUUGUCCUGUACUGGUCCCUGGGGAGGAAGGUGUCCUAGCCUUGAGGUCUGGACUCAGCCCCUGCAGAGGAAGCAUAGGCAGGGGUUCUGGGCUGCAGAGGCACAGGCUCUCAGAGCCACUCUGGAGCUGGGCCACAGCUGCUCUGGUCUGGCCCUGGCCUGCCUUCUAACUGCAGACCCAGAGCUUCCUUCAUGUCCUAACUCCCAUUUGAUCCAUGUUGGAUCCUGCACCUAAGGUUCUUCCUGCCAGCCAAAUGAAUGUCAGGAGCCAUCUGCUGGGUAAGCCAGUGACAGCUGUUGGGAAAAUGCUUGCAUACAUAUGAAUCAAUUUUGUUUUGCCUCAGAUUAAGAACUUCAGUUGAGCAAGGGGAGAUUUGCUAAAUUAUUCAGAGGUUACAUGAACCUGAGGAAGGCAGUACUAACCGCCUAGGGGAAAGGCAGAAGCCAGAAGCCUAGAGACAACCAAGGAUGCCAGCAGGCAGGAUGCCCUGUGGCCUAAGGAGGAAGUCACUGUGGUGUUGUAGCCACAGGUUUGUGGCCCCUUAUAACAGUGCUGGGCCCAUGUUCCCCUGACUGGGCUGAUGCUGGGCUGGUCCUCAGCAGAGGCAGCUUUUGGUGCUCACCAAGGUGAGCAGAGCUUUCACAUUUCCCCAGGCCCUCACAGGAAGUCUUGCCCUAAGCCUGUUCUGCCCAGUUCCACACGGAACUCCCUCCACAACAAUAUCACAGCUCCCAUGCAGGGAGCAGCUGCUCUGUGUGAGGGUGUUUCCUUACAUUGCCUUGUUUGAUCACCAAAAACCUAUUAAAGAAAAGCAGAUAUUAGUCCCCUGGUCCAGAUGGGAAGCAGCAGCUCAGAGAGGUUAAAUAACUUGCCUGUGGACACACAGCUAUUGCUGUUAGGGCCAGGAUGAGACUCCUGGAGCCCUAAUGCAAAGCCAGUGCUGUUUCUUCUAAUGAGGCUGCAGCCUCACUGGGAAAGGAUGGAAUACCUAGGGUUUCUACCGCUGAGACAGCGACACCUUUAGGUGAAGUGACAAAGCUUCCUGGAGACCCCAGGGAGCCCCACUCCCCUGCUGGGGCAUUCUAGUUGAACAUAUUUGAAGCAGUAGUUCAUGGGGUCCCCAGGAGCCCCAGUGGGAGAAUUUCAGUCACUGAGUCACUGCUUUGCCAUAUAGGGGUAUGAUAUGAUGCUGUCCUGAGUUCUCUCUUCUGAAAGUUUGGUUCUUUGUAAAACUUCUUCUAAGGAGAGAAAGAUGGAGAGUGAGAUUCAGUCAACUUUCAGAAAAGGAAGCUCUGAACCACCUGGGACACUUAUUACAUGCAGAUUCCCAGGCCUAUCUGAGAACUACUGAAUGAGACUGUGUGCAAGAUGCAGGGAGCUGCACUGUUCAUGAGCUUGUCCCUGAGGUAAUUUGUGUGUACCCUAACGUUUGAGAAUCACUGCUUUUAGAUAAGCCAACAUUUAGGUUAAUGUUAUUUAAAUACCUGAGGAGUGGAACCUCUCAAACCCAUGCAGCCCCUUCUGAGGGAAAAGGCCUUGGGCACACCUGAAGGAAGCAAAGGUCUCCUACAGAAACCAAGUGGCCCACCCAUGCACACCAGCAGGAGCCUUGAAGAACACACACACACAGGCACAUACAGCACACACACAAUCUUGCCCCAGGCAGUGUUUGGAAGUCUAACGCAAAUAAGGGUGAUAUUAAUUCCCCAGUCCCAUUAUGUUCUCUCUCAGGUAGUCAAAGCAGAGAUGUGGGGAGAGAGUUGGUCAUCUCUAGUGGGCCCUAAAAAGCCCUGAGGCCCUAAUUGACUAGCAGGGAUGGAGCCCACACUGUGAGUUGGUUAUGCUCUUUGCCACCUGGGUGAACAUCACAGUGGACCAGGUUCUGUUCCCAGCUACACCCCACCCCUUUGAAGGUGGGCAUGGCCACAUGGGCCCACUCUGGCCAGUGCAUUUGAUAGAUGGCAGGGUCAUUUCCACAUGAAAGCAUUCAAAAACCAGGAGGUCUCCAUCUUCCCUUGUCCCAAUGGGCCUCCUGAUAUUGGGUCUCCAAGUGGGGAUGGCAUGGAGCAGAGACAUGCCAACUCAUGGAUGGACAUGUAGUGGAAGCAAAAGUAAAUCUCUGUGGUUUUAAGGCACAGAUUCAAGGUUAUUUGUGACCACCUAAUUAUCUACCCCCUCCUGCUGCAAUACCACACUUAAGAGCCAAACCACCACAAGGGUUAAACUCACUCUGCUUAGACAAUUCAUGUAAUCUGGGCACUAAACUACAAGGGGGUUAUGGAGUGGCUCAUUAAUAGGAGAUGAUAAUUUUGUUCACUGGAAGCAGUACUGCAGAUUCUAAAUGCUUAGGCCUUUACAGCCAUUGUCAGCUGAUGCUGCAAAGCCUUGCUAAAAAACAAACAAGCAAUGACUGUGCAAUGCAGAGCUGCUAAAAAAUGCUUCGUUUAUCAGUGGGUGAGUGUCUUUGUGUCUUUCUUUUUUCUCCAUUGAAAGAGCUCAACAAAGGUGAUAAUCCUGGAAUGUGAACAAAAGAGGACUGGGAAAGCUCCAUUUCUCAAUUUUCUGUCUCCCACCCCCGCCCUUCACACCCAUUUCUUUGAAAAGCUGAAAGCAAUGCACAGAUGUAAGGAGCUGUGUUCAUUCUUGUGGUUACAAGCCCCCCUCGGUUCCCAUGGCAGCCUGGCAUGCUCUGCCAUGUACUUUUCACACCACAUUUUGUCUCAUACCUUGUCAGUCUCUCCCAACUGGGCUGUGAAUGUCUCUCAGAGAAGGGCACAGCCUUCCUUCCUACAUCUAGGCCACCUGGCUGAACACCUGGCACUUUAGGUGAGGGGAGAACAGAACAAAAGUAGAGGCCACGAAACAGCACCUUGAGCCCU